UCCCCUGCUCAUGCUCUGUCUGUCUCUCGCACUCUCUCAAAAAUAAAUAAACAUCAAAAUUAAAAAAGGAAAGAAAAGAAAGCGUAGAUCGCCCCACAACCAGAACCCCAACAGCACUUGCUCUAAACAGAAGGUGACCAUGAACAUGAGCAAAGGCGAUCACCAUCCUGCUGCCUGAUGGUUUUCAAGAUGGUAACUCUCUCCCGUUCUUUGGCAAAGGUAGCUAACCCAGACACAUCCGAGACACCUCAGCACCCCGCAGAGACCUUCUCCUCGAAGCAGGCAGGAGAAUGGAAAGAAGAAAGGGACUGACUUUCUUGCUGUCGAGGAUCAUUUGCUGCUGUGUCUGCAUCCGGCCCAGGUCUCUGUAACCAUUUGGGAAAGAUCCUAAAUGAGGACGAUCGCAAACGCCCCAGCAGGGCUCGCUGCGUGUUGCAGGCAAUUCCAGAAGGUUCCUGUAACGCUCAACAGCCCUACGAGGGUGAGGUAGGUGCUGUCAUCAUCCCCACGUGGGACCCAGACAGGUUAAGCAACCUUCCAAAGGUCACACAGCCAAGUGGCGGUGAAGCUGGGGUUUGAACCCCGACCUCCCGCUUAAGUCCUAAUUACCCAGCACGCCUCCUGGGAAACACAGAUCGGUACCCACCAGGGUCCUGGAAAGUUGCAGAGGGCCUCUGCUGUGUUCAAUAGUGUCUCCCCGCCCCCCAGCCCCCCCCAAAAAACAACACUACUGAGUCCUUGGAACGCUGUGUUCUUGGGCUGCUGUGAUAAAGAACCGAACUUGAAAUUUAAUUACAUUUCAACUUAAAGAGCCGCAGGUAAGAGUUUCCUCCCACUGCUGCACAACGAUCACACACAUACCGGCUUAACACAGCGCGAAUUAAUCUUACGGUUCUGGAGGUCCGAAGUCUGAAACGGGCCUCACUGGUCCGACAGCACGGCGUCUGCGGGGCUGUGUCCCUCCUGGAGGCUCUGGACGAGGACCUUUUCUUGCCUCUUCAGCUUCGAGAGGCCGCCUGCAUUCCUCGGCUCGUGGCCCCACAUCGCUGUGCCCUCCGCCUCCUCGUCGAGCCUUCCCCGACUCUGACCCUCCCGCCUCCCUCUGACGAGGACCCGCAAGGCCGGUGGCUGCCGUACUGGACAGGGCAGGUGCCGACCGAUGCUUCCCAAAAGACCUGCUUCUGCUUGGGUCGCUGCCGGGUCCCCUGAGCCAGGCACACGGUCCCCAACGAGCGUGUUCAGUUAGCGACAUUCGAGUACUGCUUCUACAGCACGUGGGUCGAAGGACGCGCUGGGUUCCACCUCGGGGUCCGAGCCAAACUUUGCAAAACGGAGACCCACAUGGUGGGGUGCCUCUCACCGAGGGAAACCGUGCUGUCCCGAGCCCUACUGUGCGCCUUCAAGCAGGCCUCUGUGCCUCGUUGGGCGUCACCUUCCCCAUCUGUAUGAUGAGGGGCAGGGAGGAGCCGUAGAAUAGCUCCCAGCAGCCUCAGGAGGGCGAGGAAAAUGGACGCACAGAAGCCAAGGGGCUGGCCCGAGGGCCAGGUCUCGAAGAAGGGGAAGCCGCCGUCCCAAGUGGAGACUGGUGUGAGACUUCAGAAAGGGUGUGAGAGACGAGCAGGGAGGGUCCCCGCACCAUUUGCGGAAGAGAAGACGGCAGCCUGCCCCCGGGGCCGGAAUCGGUGACUUCUUCAACGCUGUGCCAUCUGCCUGGAUAAGUUCUCCUAAACUUCCUCUGCGCGUCGAACUUCUACUCAUCCUUCAAGACCCAGUUCGAAUGUUUCCUUCUUUUUUUUUUUUCGAUGUUUCCUCUGGGGUGUGGAUCCAAGUCCCCUGGCCCGAACGUCGACGCUCUGAUGCGGCCAUCCACACGCGCUCACCACUCGCGCGCACACCUGCCCGCACACACGCGCGUCCCGGAGCACAAACACACACACACACACACACACACGAGGGUAUACCAGGCGUACCGUCUGCGGGCCCGCGCACGAGUGCACAUGGACCUCCGUGGGGGCCGUGCACGCACACGCUCCCACACCGAGGCCUGCACCCACGCACCAGCUCUGCACACACGUCCCCGGGACGGUGCAGGGGGCACACACAAACACCAGGGCGUGUGUCCUCGCACACGGACGUCCGCAGAAACGUUGCCACGGACCGUGAACACAGUCGCAGACAGAAAAGUACGGAGCUCCUGCCUGCGAACCGGGACGUCUAGGACUUCCCUGUCCCCCCACACACCCACAGACACCCAGAGGCACACGCACGCACACACGUGCACACCCACGGACGCGCUCCUGUCCUGCGUCCCCGGGGCCUCACUCUCUGCUCCACGGCUGCGGCGGUGGGGCCCGGAGGGCUGACACCGGCUCCUUCCGGUCUCGGUCGACCACGGGGAGGAGGAAAACUCGGCCGGCCGGCCGUCUGGCCUCGUCUAGGGCGGGGGAUGGGAAACCCCCCGGGCCCAGCCCUCGACGCCCUGCUCGCGCUCCUCUUGCCGCCCGCCGGCCCAGGGCCUCCGGGACCCUCCGGGGCCGGACGCAGAGCCGACGCGUCCCGCGGUGCCCAGGUGAGACCCAGAAGCGUGGGGACGGGCCAGGGCCCCACCCCCGCGGCCCCACCGAACAGAGAGGAAGAGGAAGUACAGCGUGGGCCUGUGUGGGGGCGCCGGCCCAGACAGCCUCCUGUGCAGCCAGAUGGCCGGCCAUCUGCGGUCCCCUCCUCCUCGCGGCGUGGCCAGACCGGGUGCCCGGGCGAGCCUCCUCAAAGCUGGCAGAGCGUGUUAGGGCCAUGUGCUGCCUGGCAGGCUGGGGGCUGCGCCCCGGGGAGAGGCGACCGGACGCGCGGACAGCCGGGCAGAGGCAGGCCCGCCGGGCCCAGCUGCUGCGGCCCCUUCUGCGGCCCCGCCUCUCGCCUCCUAAGAUGGGGCAAUCGGGGAAGGCUUCUCAGAGGAAGGGGCACGGAGAGAGACCCGGUUGGAGUAAAGAGCCAGCACUGAGGCCCCCAGGGGAAGGGACCGGCCCGGAAAGACCCGAGGUGGACAGGCUUGGUGUGUCCAACACCCCGGGGAGUCCAGGCCCCUGGGCUGGCACAGAUCCACAAAACAGGAUGGGGGGUUUCUCAGCGGUGCAGGUGUCACCAGCCCCGUUCUACAGACAAGGAAACCGAGGCUCAGAGAGGAGGACCUUGCCCAAGAAGCCACGAGGCAGAAGGCACAGCUGGAGGCCAGAACACGGGGGCUGCUAGAGCUUCUGCUUCAGAGGGAGAAAGGUUGUGGGGCUCACUCGACCCCCCUCUGAGCCAGAAUCGAGAAAUCCCGGAGGAGGCAGAGACCUCGGGGCCCCUGGGCCGUCUGAAUGCCUCUUUCCGAGGGUCCCAGCCCUGCCUCAAGCAUCCCCACUCGCCCCGGCGGCCAGAACCGCGCCUGCAUUCACCCUGAUAAUGAUGAAGGUUUAUGUUUUCCAUAAGAAGUCCUGCGGUGGAGGAACUUCUGAGCAGGCUGGUUCGGCAGCCCAGUGGUGGCGUCCGGACCAGGGUCUCUCCCUGUAUGUCCUCUGUCACCCUCAGUACGGAUCACUCCCCUCAUGCCCCAAAAUGGCUGCAGCAGAUCCAGUCAUCACAUCCCACCAGGACAAACUGCAGCCCAAGAUGAGCCAGCCAUAUCUUCCUCGUGUUUCUCUCUUUUUCAAGAGCAAACCAAGAUUCCCCAUAACCCCCCACUGGAGCCCCUUUCACACCUCACUGGUUUCAGUUGGGUCACACGCGAGGGGCACAGGACAGCCAUUGACUGGCUCAGACCAAGGGUCAGCAAAUCUGGCCCCAAGUCCGCCUGUGUAAAUAAAGAUUUAUUGGUACGCA